UACGUAGGGUGCAAGCGUUAUCCGGAACUAUUGGGCGUAAAGAGCUCGUAGGCGGUUUUGUCGCGUCUGCUGUGAAAACUGGAGGCUCAACCUCCAGCCUGCAGUGGGUACGGGCAAACUAGAGUGCGGUAGGGGAGAUUGGAAUUCCUGGUGUAGCGGUGGAAUGCGCAGAUAGUCAGGAGGAACACCGACGGCGAAGGCAGAUCUCUGGGCCGUAACUGACGCUGAGGAGCGAAAGCAUGGGGAGCGAACAGG
rnacentral:rRNA from 1 species